rnacentral:misc_RNA from 1 species
AAGUCGUAACAAGGUUUCCGUAGGUGAACCUGCGGAAGGAUCAUUAACACGUAUCCAACGUUAAACCCCCUGUGAACCUUCAUUGUACGAGUUACAUCCACGUCAUAAACCGGCAAUCUCUGGUAAAUCAUCGCCGAACAGUUUUGAUUCAGAGACCUCUGGGAAGGGUGUACGGUAGUGCGAGGCAAUUGACCUGGCAUUCCUCUGCUUGUUAGUGUCUGAAAGUGUCACUAGUAACGAUCGCUGGAGGCCGACACGGCCGGCGACCAGGUCACUGGGCUACGGCCCCCCUGAUCACAACCUUUGCAUGAAAACGGGCCUGCGCUGAGGUGCGGCCACCCCUAAUGCUUGAACAAUUGUUAACAAUGGAUAUCUUGGUUCUC